UAAAUCUUAGCGGUGGAUCACUCGGUUCGUGGAUCGAUGAAGAACGCAGCUAGCUGCGAUAAAUAGUGCGAAUUGCAGACACAUUGAGCACUAAAAAUUCGAACGCACAUUGCGCCAUCGGGUUCAUUCCCGUUGGCACGUCUGGCUGAGGGUCGAA
rnacentral:rRNA from 1 species